AGACAUUUUUUUUAACUAUAACUUUUAGUACAUUUAUAGUGUUGUCUAUAAAAAGUUUAAUAUAUAUAUAUAUAUAUAAACCAGAAUAGGAUGCAAGGCCAAGCGGCCAAUUCCAAUCCCCAAAACCUAAGCCCUUACCCAGCCGUCACACCUCUCACCCGCUUCCCUCUUUGCGUUGUCAAUCAAAAUAUCAAAUUUGUAGCUGUUCUUUGAAUUUUCUUUCCUCACCACUUGUUGUUCACAAAUUGGUUCUCAUCGAUUUAAGGCGAGCAAUGGUAAUUCCAUUUAUAUUGAGAGUGAAGUCAUGUGAAGUCGACGACAAAGCAAAUUUGUGGAGUUAUUGGACCAACAAUGAUAAGUAAUCGAUAUUAAUCAAGCUACUAUACAAUUGGAGACAAUGAAAAAGGGAGAAGAUUAUGCAGCUUUGUAUCUCAUGCAAGACACUACCAUUGUAAUUGUUGUCAUAGAAAAAUUAUGUAUUGUGAAUAUUUUGAAUUUAACUAUGUAAUUAUGUGUAACUUGAAAUCCAUUUCGAAUCUAAU